CACCGCGGUUAUACGAGAGGUUCAAAUUGAUAAUCCACGGCGUAAAGCAUGAUUAGAGAAAAAACAAAACUAAAGCCAAACAUCCCCCAAGCCGUCAUACGCUUACGGAAGUAAGAAGUCCCACAACGAAAGUGGCCUUAAAACACCUUGAAUUCAUGAACGUUAAGAAA
rnacentral:rRNA from 2 species